UGCCCAGCAUCUCCUAUCCCUACCUCCUCGCGGUAGUGGCCGGGGUACGAGUAACCUUAGGGAAGAUCGGGUUGGUGGGAACUUUGGUCGUAUGCUGACAGGGAAGG
rnacentral:ribozyme from 1 species